rnacentral:rRNA from 1 species
CGUUCUGUAAGCCUGUGAAGGUGUGCUGUGAGGCAUGCUGGAGGUAUCAGAAGUGCGAAUGCUGACAUAAGUAACGAUAAAGCGGGUGAAAAGCCCGCUCGCCGGAAGACCAAGGGUUCCUGUCCAACGUUAAUCGGGGCAGGGUGAGUCGACCCCUAAGGCGAGGCCGAAAGGCGUAGUCGAUGGGAAACAGGUUAAUAUUCCUGUACUUGGUGUUACUGCGAAGGGGGGACGGAGAAGGCUAUGUUGGCCGGGCGACGGUUGUCCCGGUUUAAGCGUGUAGGCUGGUUUUCCAGGCAAAUCCGGAAAAUCAAGGCUGAGGCGUGAUGACGAGGCACUACGGUGCUGAAGCAACAAAUGCCCUGCUUCCAGGAAAAGCCUCUAAGCAUCAGGUAACAUCAAAUCGUACCCCAAACCGACACAGGUGGUCAGGUAGAGAAUACCAAGGCGCUUGAGAGAACUCGGGUGAAGGAACUAGGCAAAAUGGUGCCGUAACUUCGGGAGAAGGCACGCUGAUAUGUAGGUGAAGUCCCUCGCGGAUGGAGCUGAAAUCAGUCGAAGAUACCAGCUGGCUGCAACUGUUUAUUAAAAACACAGCACUGUGCAAACACGAAAGUGGACGUAUACGGUGUGACGCCUGCCCGGUGCCGGAAGGUUAAUUGAUGGGGUCAGCGCAAGCGAAGCUCUUGAUCGAAGCCCCGGUAAACGGCGGCCGUAACUAUAACGGUCCUAAGGUAGCGAAAUUCCUUGUCGGGUAAGUUCCGACCUGCACGAAUGGCGUAAUGAUGGCCAGGCUGUCUCCACCCGAGACUCAGUGAAAUUGAACUCGCUGUGAAGAUGCAGUGUACCCGCGGCAAGACGGAAAGACCCCGUGAACCUUUACUAUAGCUUGACACUGAACAUUGAGCCUUGAUGUGUAGGAUAGGUGGGAGGCUUAGAAGUGUGGACGCCAGUCUGCAUGGAGCCGACCUUGAAAUACCACCCUUUAAUGUUUGAU